CUACAGAGGGUGCGAGCGUUAAUCGGAAUUACUGGGCGUAAAGCGCGCGUAGGCGGUCUAUUAAGUCAGAUGUGAAAUCCCAGGGCUCAACCUUGGAACUGCAUCUGAUACUGGUAGACUAGAGUUUUGGAGAGGGAAGUAGAAUUUCAGGUGUAGCGGUGAAAUGCAUAGAGAUCUGAAGGAAUACCAGUGGCGAAGGCUACUUCCUGGCCAAAAACUGACGCUGAGGUGCGAAAGCGUGGGUAGCAAACGGGAUUAGAAACCCCAGUAGUCC
rnacentral:rRNA from 1 species